rnacentral:rRNA from 1 species
GAGAUGCUUUGGUGCCUUCGGGAACUCUGAGACAGGUGCUGCAUGGCUGUCGUCAGCUCGUGUUGUGAAAUGUUGGGUUAAGUCCCGCAACGAGCGCAACCCUUAUCCUUUGUUGCCAGCGAUUCGGCCGGGAACUCAAAGGAGACUGCCAGUGAUAAACUGGAGGAAGGUGGGGAUGACGUCAAGUCAUCAUGGCCCUUACGAGUAGGGCUACACACGUGCUACAAUGGCAUAUACAAAGAGAAGCGACC